AGGACGGAAACGUUCAGCCCCUGGACAGGCAGUUAGCGCCGUUCCCUCGGGGUCACCAGGACGGAGGUUUCCAUCUCCCAAACAGGCGGUUAGCGCCGGCCCCUCGGGGUCACCAGGAAGAUCUAGAAAUGAAAUAUGAGCCAGCGGCUCGCCAAAAACACCCAUCUCUGGGCCGAUGAAUAUUUCAGCGACGGUGGCGAAGCGCUUUCUCCAUUUAAUGCUUGUCUUGGAUCGAGUUCGGCUCAGAUUCAAGGACUUCUCACCGGAGCCGAAGAAUGCACAUUUUAGAGUUAGAUGAUACUGCGAAAGGAUCGCGUCCGCAUGAAAUAUUUAUCGAUGAGGCUUCCCCCGGGCGCUUGUGAUCUCACUCCCUCAUAAAUAUUGAAAAUGCUUG